rnacentral:tRNA from 1 species
GGGCAUGUAGCUCAGUGGUAGAGCAUUUACCUAGUGUCCAAAAGGCUCAAGUCCCAUGCCCA